UUACGGGGCAAGUAGUUCGAGUUCUGUGAACCCGGGUCGCUCCAACGGUCAGCUGCUGAAUUGGGUUGAGUCUCGAGACCCAGGCCAGGCCCAUAACCAUGUGACGUGAAGCAGCCAUGCAAGCCCAACGUGCUCCAGCCCAAGUUUAUAUUUAUUUUCUGAAUUUCAGUUUUUAUCAUUUGUUUUAUUUGUUUCAGUUAAUUAUGGACUUGUCAAAGUGUUUUCCUUAUUUUAAGCCAUACUAGUAGUGGAGGUAUGGGUAGUUAUUUCCUUUUGAUGUAAUUUCCUUUAAAGAGCACGUUGGAAUGAAAAAAAGGGCAGUGAAUUUAGAAAAUUGAUUGAGUCUCAAAAGUGAGUCUUGAAAUUUUGUGUCCUAGCUAUCUUGAUCGGCAAUUCAAGAGGUGAACAAAGGAUCCAGUAAUCUUUGACGGUGGUGUAGCUGUAACCGGAAAAGAGCACUGUCGCCCGGCGAUUAUAAUCGGAAGGUGCGUCUGUAACCAUUUGUAUCGCUGUCCAAACCCUUUUAAACCGAUUACCAGGUGAUGCUCAUAUCAUCUGGUGAUGCUAGCUAUGUAUAGUAUCCACAUAUAUAAGUUUCUAGAACCAUAUAUUUUGGUUUUAGAAAACAUUAAUCUAUUUUUUUUAUAUAAUUUUAAGCUUAUAAUUAAAUGCAGUGUAUUGAAGUUCGACUAACUUAAGCUAUGGAAUGCGAAAAACUAAAAAUAUGUGUAGGUUUUACUUUGAUUGUGACAUAUAUACGAUUUUUUUUUUUAUACUUCUACUUAAAACUGAUUAAUUUUGAGUAUGAACUGCAUUGUUACAUAAAAAUCUCGCUGUAAAAAAAUGUAGCAUGUUUUUUACGUGCAUUACAAAAUAAAAAUUCAUAAAUUAUAAGUUCUAAAAUCCAUAUAAUUUAUAUAAUCUUAAAAAUUGUUGUUAAAAAACAAUAAAAAAGUGUUACAAGUGAAUUAAAAAAUGUGAACAACUGAAAAAAUAUAACACAUUCUUUUCCGUCUCUUCACUGUUACAAAAAGUGUGUUAAUGUCAGAAAAUGUUGUAGGUAUCAAUAAAAAUGUUUUAGCGAAAAAGUGUAACACGUGACAACAUGAUAUCCAUUUAUUAGGUUUUCAAAGUUUUUGUAACCCACAUGAGAUAUAUUAUUUCAUUAAAAUAAGUGCAUUUCAUUUUCAUAAAUAAUAGAGUUUGAAGUGUUUAAACCUUAAAAAACGUUACUUUUUGCCUAACUUUACAGUACACAAGAUGAUGCGGGCCCAAGUGUGAAGGAGCGGAUCAUCUUAUUUGGAGGCUCAAGAUCGUGUGAUAAAAGUGUCUUUACUAAAAUGGCUCUAACUUGGACUAUGGGGGUCCGUUUUGGACGUGUGACCAAGUGAAACGUUCGUGAGAGCAAGACCCAUCUUUCUACAAACGGCCAUAGGCGGUUUGGGUCAUUGUUCGGGCCCAAAAACCCUUAAUUCUGUGAGUUAUUUAUCGUUUUAUGUUUUGUAUUGCUUUUGGUGGACUUUUAUUUGGAUCUAGCUUUUGGCCCAAGUGUUUUUGAGGCCCGUUUUCAAUU
rnacentral:lncRNA from 1 species